UUCAGGUUGAAGAGAUCUUAAUGUUUUAGGUGUGGAUUUAUGUUCUUGAAAUUUAGUAUUUCUUCAACAUAAGAUCUAGAAAAUAUACAAAAUAUAGUGGAUGGCAUUUUAGAUGUGAAGGCAAAAACAGAUCUAAGUUAAUCUUGUAUAUCUUUCAAGAGGAAGUGGUCCUAAAGAGAUGUUGGCUUGCUCGCUACUAGAUUUGAGGAAACUUACUUCUUUGAAGGUUCUUAAUGAAUCAUUUAAGUUAAUGUUUAGUUAGUUUUGUUGAUUGUGUUAUGGACAGAGGAUAGUUUGUUUUGGGUCAUUAGAAACCAUCAACAAUAAAAUAUAUGCUAUAC